rnacentral:sRNA from 1 species
UAAUAUGCAUUAUAACCCUCUUUUGCCUUUUUUUUU